AGUUAUGCCUAUGAAUAAUCUUUUUAGCAUUUUCAGUGGAUUUCUCCAUUUGUUCCAAAUGCUUUUGUCUAGCUGUUUCUCUCCAUUCUUCAGCUUUCCUGUGAACCACUGACAUCCUCUUCAUCAACUUCUCUUCCAGGGAAGCAUCAUGGUGAGGAAAAAUCAGAAGUGGAAUAUUGACUCGUCAAGAAAAUAAUAUUAUAAUGGUAUCCAUGAAUUGGGGGUGGCUCGAGGAAAUAAGCCAACAACAUUCUGUUGUAGUCAAAAAUUCAAACUAUGAUCUCGUGUAUAAAACUUGUAUCUAUGUAUACUUAUGAUGUCCUUGGAUUCUACAUUUGUUAAGGACAAAAGUGUACCCAUGUGAGGUGCUAGUAAUUUUAACUUAUAAACUAUCAUAAAUUUUAAAAGAAUCGUCAUGUAAAAAGAGUA